rnacentral:lncRNA from 1 species
AAUAAACGCGGAACGACACUUUUAGUGAAUCAGUUUCGAGACGUUCUCCGGAGCAGUAUCUGCUCCGAUAUAUAACCACGAACUUGGACGUUUCGCUACAAGAAAACGAGGAUCCUUCGUGGACACAAAUUGAACGAAGACGUAGUACGUUCGGUUUCGGAACUUAACUAGGGCCGUUACGAAGCGAUGUUGGUAAUUCGGCAGCUUCUAAUGACAGAAUCUUGUUUGGUGAAGCGCAACGUUAUACGACAAUUUUUGCAUAGUAACUGGAAUCCUUCUAAACCACGGAUCAUACGUGACUGAAUUGAGCGGGAUAAGAACUUAGAAUCGCCAGUGCCUACGACUGUGUAUCCGAGGUCCUCGACACGACCUUUCGAAUGAUAUGUCUAUAUUGAGAACUGUAUGAUAGCAAUGACGCUGGUGCAUUCAAAGACUCGAACGAACACCAAAAAAUAGAGGAACAACUUGGAAAAUCUA